CUGCCUUUGGGUCCGGCAUAACCCGGGAAAUGGGGAUAAUUCCGGAUAACGCACAUAUGCUGGAAUGCUUUAUGCGUAAAAUGGAUUCGUCUGCCCAAGGAUGGGUCUGCGGCCUAUCAGGUAGUAGUGGGUGUAAUGUACCUACUAGCCAACAACGGGUACGGGUUGUGAGAGCAAGAGCCCGGAGAUGGAUUCUGAGACAUGAAUCCAGGCCCUACGGGGCGCAGCAGGCGCGAAAACUUUACAAUGCGGGAAACCGUGAUAAGGGGACACCGAGUGCCAGCAUCAUAUGCUGGCUGUCCAGGUGUGUAAAAUACACCUGUCAGCAAGGGCCGGGCAAGACCGGUGCCAGCCGCCGCGGUAACACCGGCGGCCCGAGUGGUGAUCGUGAUUAUUGGGUCUAAAGGGUCCGUAGCCGGUUUGGUCAGUCCUCCGGGAAAUCUGACGGCUCAACCGUUAGGCUUUCGGGGGAUACUGCCAGGCUUGGAACCGGGAGAGGUAAGAGGUACUACAGGGGUAGGAGUGAAAUCUUGUAAUCCCUGUGAGACCACCUGUGGCGAAGGCGUCUUACCAGAACGGGUUCGACGGUGAGGGACGAAAGCUGGGGGCACGAACCGGAUUAGAUACCCGGGUAGUCCCAGCCGUAAACGAUGCUCGCUAGGUGUCAGGCAUGGCGCGACCGUGUCUGGUGCCGCAGGGAAGCCGUGAAGCGAGCCACCUGGAAGUACAGCCGCAAGGCUGAAA
rnacentral:rRNA from 1 species